UUCCGGUUGAUCCUGCCGGACCUGACUGCUAUCGGAUUGGUACUAAGCCAUGUGAGUCGUUGUAGCAAUACGAGGCAUACGGCUCAGUAACACGUAGUCAAUCUAACCUAUGGACGGGGAUAACCUCGGGAAACUGAGGAUAAACCCCGAUAGGUCAUUAUGCCUGGAACGGUUUAUGGUCUAAAUGAUUCGUCGCCGCAGGGUGGGACUGCGGCCUAUCAGUUUGUUGGUGAGGUAAUGGCCCACCAAGACUAUUACAGGUACGGGCUCUGAGAGGAGAAGCCCGGAGAUGGGUACUGAGACACGGACCCAGGCCCUAUGGGGCGCAGCAGGCGAGAAACCUUUGCAAUGUGCGCAAGCACGACAAGGUUAAUCCGAGUGUUUCCUGCUAAAGGAAUCUUUUGUUAGUUGUAAAACCACUGAUGAAUAAGGGGUGGGCAAGUUCUGGUGUCAGCCGCCGCGGUAAAACCAGCACCUCAAGUGGUCAGGAUGAUUAUUGGGCCUAAAGCAUCCGUAGCCUGUUCUGUAAGUUUCCGGUUAAAUCCAUUAGCUCAACUAAUGGGCUGCCGAAAAUACUGCAGAACUAGGGAGUGGGAGAGGUAGACGGUACUCGGUAGGAAGGGGUAAAAUCCUUUGAUCUAUUGAUGACCACCUGUGGCGAAGGCGGUCUACCAGAACACGUUCGACGGUGAGGGAUGAAAGCUGGGGGAGCAAACCGGAUUAGAUACCCGGGUAGUCCCAGCUGUAAACGAUGCAGACUCGGUGAUGCCCUGGCUUGUGGCCAGUGCAGUGCCGCAGGGAAGCCGUUAAGUUUGCCGCCUGGGAAGUACGUACGCAAGUAUGAAACUUAAAGGAAUUGGCGGGGCAGCAC
rnacentral:rRNA from 1 species